CAUCUACUUAAAAAGAAAAAUGUUCUUUCUCUUGUGGAACUUAGAUUUCAGAAUGGAAAUGUAUUUUAUAUUGGCCAAUUGGACUGGCUGUGAAAGACCAGUAACCAAGCAAGAGAAGUAGAUGUUGCUUUAAUGAGGUAUAAACUAUAUCUUGUUAAAUAGGUCUUAUCUUAGACAAGUAGUAUAAAUGCACACCCAAACAUCAUUCAUUUGCAAUACAGAGGCAUUUAGAAGUGAUUCACAUGGAUUUUUUCCUUUUAUUUUUGGAAAGCAUUAAUCUAAGCUUCUGCUGUGUAUGGACCUGUGGCUACAUUACAAAAUUCAGUUGUGAAGCUAUAAAAUCAAUUAGUCUAGACCUCAAAUCUUAUUUCCUAUGAAAAGCCUCAAACUUGUAGCUGUAUGAACAAGUGUUUUUGGAAUUUUUUUUUUUUUGCUAGAAUGGAGAGAACACACUGGAGAUCACAAAUGCAUUUAUUCUUUUUCACCAACUGUUUCAUUGCCCUUAAAAAAUACUAGGCUAAACUUAAGUGGUAAAGAUCUGAAAUAAAAAGAUUCAUCUUUAUGUCCGAACAGCAAUUUUUCAUAGGUCUCUAAUAUCUUGCAUUUCCUUAUCUAUGGAUAAGGAGAUCUGAAAUUGAUCUACAUUUCCUUUAGUAAUGUUUUCUCUGUUUAUUGAGAACAGAUAUCUUCAUCUCCUUCAUGCAUUAUCCUUAGUAACAGAUGUCAGUAGGAUCCAGAGCCAUUUUGGAACUUUACCAAGGAUUAAGGAUGAGCACAGAUCACAUCAAGAGUCUGUAAGAAGACAGUAUUUCUGAUUUAGACCCAUAAAGACAGUAUCUCAUAAUUGUGAGCAAAGAUUGCAUUUGAAGGAUUAUGUUUCUUUUUCCUGACAAGAUGUUGCAUACUAUGGAAUGUAAAUUUUUGUGAUGAUUGGAGAGGAACUGAGCUCCUUUCUAGCUCAGUUCCUUUCUAGCUCAGUCCCUUUCCAAUCAUCGUAAAAUGGAAGCACAAACCUUCAACAAAAUGUAUUCCUUAGCUGAGCUUGAGAUUUUGCAUAGCCUCUCAUUUAUUCUUUCUAGAAUCAGUAAAGUGCAUUAGGAUUCAGAAGACUCCACUUGUUCUAUUUGCUCUCCAUUGCAUUAUGACUUCAUCAGGCACUGCUAUCAUGGGGCACUGGUAACAAAUAAAUAUCACUUUGGAGGCCAUGUGCAGAUCAGAUUUGGAAGUGACCAAGACUGGAGGCAGGGACACCAGAGUUUUCUGUUAAAAACUGGUCCAUUCAAGAAAAGAUGACUCCUGAAAUAAGACAGUGAUCAUUAGGAUGAAGAGGAAGAGAAGAUUUGAGGAAUACUUAGAACAGAAUUUACUGAAUUUACUGGUUGAAUUGAAUGUGAAGAGGAGAUGAAUAAAGAAGAAAACACCCUCAAAGGGAACCCUGAGCAGAAUACAUGCACAAACUCAUGCCACACCCUAAGGGACAAGGUUCCCCACAUCUACUUGGAAAUCUUCGGGAUGCUUAAUGGACACUUGCUCUGAUUCGUUUCUGGACUUCAGUGGAAGAAGCAGCCCUUAUCUAGGAUAUUGUUAGUCUUUGGCAGAGGGAAUACAAAGCAAUGGAAGGGUGAUGUGAUGGCUCCGAAAGCUUCUGUUGGAUGUAGAAUGUAAAGUUUGCUCACCUUUUUUAAUCCAAAAGCACACAGCAGUGAAGUAAACAAACUCCCUUGCCCUCAUGGAUUUUAUAUUCUAUGGUAAAAAAGACUAUAAACACAGAGAAAAACGAGGAGAGAAAAAUCUAAACCCAGCAGAAGAGAAAGUUUAAGAAAGCGGUCGUCGCCAAUACCAAAAUUAGGUACGAUAUUCAGGAAGAAAAAAAUGGAAACACGAUAACCACAUUCAAUAAAGACCAAGGCCAGAUUCCAUUGGCCAGAGCUCAGCCACGCGCCACACCUGGCUAAGGAGACUCUGGCUGAAGAAUUCCCUGAAUAUUUUAAUGUAGCUCUAGGUUAUAACACAGCACAACCACAAGGUGGCAGAAGAACUCCAUUCUUGUAAAUCUCUUAGUUGCUUCUUUAUUUCAUCUUCCCUAUUCCAUCUAAUGUUCCCUGAAUUUUACUAUUUUGUUGGUUUGAAGAUAUGUGUGACUUACGUCUUUUAAAGGAUUUGGUUCGUAAGGUUUUGAAUAGACUGGAAUAUAAAACAUUUAUAGAACAGAAAAAUACCUACAAUAUGAUGUUAGUGAACUAUUAAUAAUUAAUCCAAUUAAAUAAAAUAUAUUUGCUUUGGAUUAAUACAUAUUUUGUUUUGAUGUUUGCUAAAUAAAACUAAGCAUUAGGAGGUCAAAUAGCCACAACGAACAUUUUCAUAUUAUUUAAUAAGCCAGUUUCAAGGCAUACAUGCUAAAUUUGUUCUUAAGGAAAAGUUGAAUUUUUGCUUUCAUGAAAUUACAAACUCUAAGGCAAUUUUACACGUGUAAAUCCAAUGUGUUCUGAAGUUUAAAGUGUCAAAGGCUGUUGGAUUUAAACAGAUCUUGUAUGACUCUCUGUUUCAUCUCUUCAGAGGUUGAUAGUAAGCAACUUUGGCAGCAACUCACAGCUUCUGCUGUAACAUGAGGCUAAUAAUGACGACUUUAUAAGGUUGUUGCAAAGAGUCAGGGAUGCCACAAGCAACGUUCUUUAUAUAUGCAGAAUUUUAAAAAUAAAGUAAAUAAAAAUAUUCCUUCCUCUAUUCCCAAUUUUUCUAACAUUAUUUGCCACUGGUGUUUUAAUGCAAGACCAAAGGCUAAAAUAUACAUGUAGCGUGCAGAAUCAAAACCUAGAUCAGAUGUUCAAAAGCAUCAUGCUGCUAAAAGAUUUCAGAGUCUAAAACCUGUGCUCACUGUUCUGAAACAUCUUUCCACUUCCUGUUUAAAAAAAAAAAACAUGAUAUUCUUUGAAGCUCAUUUUUUGGGCUUCAUGUGUUGUAAUUAUACAUUUGUUAUAUAGGGUAUAUGAUGACUUACGCUCUAAGGUGUUAUUCAGUACAUUGUAGAAAAAGGAGAAUAAAGAAUGUUGUUUGUCAGUAGGCAGCUCUGUCCUCUUUAUCCUUGACUGUAAUUUACUAAAGAGCUGACAAAAUUACAGCACAGGCAGCAAUUCACCAUAUUACCCUGCAGACAGCCAAGAGACUGACAUUGAGACGAUGCGUUUUAACUUGGGUCCAUGUAAGGAACCUGAUGGGGUUAUAUGAAUUCUUUUCUGUACUAUGAAAAAAUGAAGUUGCUUAUAAGAAGGAGGUACAAAAGUGUGUACUCUGCGCAAGGCUACUGAUAAAGAUGCUACAGGGAUGCGUGGAAGCCGAAUAUGUAACACUGAAAUGGCUUUUGAUUCAUUUGUAUUUGGUCUCAGACAAGAAAAUAGAUUAAGAAAAGGUCUGAAAAAAUGGAGCACUAGGAAAAAUGAUAGGAAAUUUUGUGUUGUUGACUAACAGUUAUCUAAUAUGUAAUAUACGUUUGUAAUAUUUUGACAUAUAUGAUUUAA